CCUUAGUCGUUCCCGGCUCGAAAAUACUGUAAUCAAUUCUAAACGACGAGAUUUAUUUCAGUCUCAUCGCGAAAUCUAGAUCCUUACGUAUGAUGGUUCAUGCGUUGUGCGCUGGACGGAGCAAAUAUAAUUUUGCAGCGAUUCCUGAUAAAAAAAAAGAAGUUUUGAUACUUUGUGCUGGACGAGAAGAGUUGGUGUAAUUUUUCAGUGAAAUGAUGGGUCGAUUCGUAAAUGAUCUGGUGCAGGCUGCUGCGGAGUGUGACAAGUGCGACAGUGCGGUCAGCCAGUGUGUCAGGUCGUCUGCCAUUGGUCCGUUUCGCGCGGAUAUUUUCAUCUGCGCGGGAUCGUUGACCGUUACGGGCAGGAGAUGCCGAUUAAAACCGAGAACAGGGAGAAAGGACACCACGGGGUCGUCGACUCGUCCUUCGCGAUUCGAGGGAUGUGGCCACGAUGCGGAUUGGAUACAGGGGAUCCUCGUUUAUCUUUUACCUGAACCGUGGUGGAUACUGGGAACAGUAGAACCUCGUUUAUAGUCAUCUAGUUGAACUCAUGGCUGAGCCUCUAUUACCUGAACCGUGGUUGAACCUGGAGGUUUAUGGUGGAGAGCUCACGAAGAGGACAGCUCUAUUAUCCUACUCAGCAUAUUAGGUGCUUAGGAAUACCUGGAGUUAAA